UACGGAGGGUGCAAGCGUUAUCCGGAUUCACUGGGUUUAAAGGGUGCGUAGGCGGGCAGGUAAGUCCGUGGUGAAAUCUCUGAGCUUAACUCAGAAACUGCCAUGGAUACUAUUUGUCUUGAAUAUUGUGGAGGUAAGCGGAAUAUGUCAUGUAGCGGUGAAAUGCUUAGAUAUGACAUAGAACACCAAUUGCGAAGGCAGCUUACUACACAGUUAUUGACGCUGAGGCACGAAAGCGUGGGGAUCAAACGGG
rnacentral:rRNA from 1 species